GGAAGGAUCAUUACCGAAUUGUCAAACACGGGUUGUUGCUGGCCCCCGAACGGGGCAUGUGCACGCUCUGUUUACACAUCCACUCACACCUGUGCACCCUCUGUAGUUCUGUGGACCGGGAGACAUUGUCUUCCUUCCGUAGCUCUACGUCUUUACACACACACCGUAGCAAUGUCUCAUGGAAUGUUUUUUCGCGUUUAACGCAAUACAAUACAACUUUCAGCAACGGAUCUCUUGGCUCUCGCAUCGAUGAAGAACGCAGCGAAAUGCGAUAAGUAAUGUGAAUUGCAGAAUUCAGUGAAUCAUCGAAUCUUUGAACGCACCUUGCGCCCCUUGGUUAUUCCUCGGAGCAUGCCUGUUUGAGUAUCAUGAACACCUCAACUCUCAUGGUCUUCCAUGAUGAGCUUGGACUUUGGGGGUUUGCUGGCCUUGUGGCCGGCUCCUCUCAAAUGAAUCAGCUUGCCAGUGUUUGGCGGCGUCACGGGUGUGAUAACUAUCUACGCUCGCGGUUGUCCGUCAGGUAACCCUCAGCGAUGAAGGUUCAUUGGGGCUCAUAAACGUCUCUCCCCAGCGAGGACAACUUUUGAACGUUCGAUCUCAAAUCAGGUAGGACUACCCGCUGAACUUAAGCAUAUCAAUA
rnacentral:sRNA from 1 species